rnacentral:lncRNA from 1 species
AGUGAACCUCUGAGAGCUGAGUUGCUCCGGGCCACCUGCCGAAUCUUCAUAUGGCACCCCUUCAACCUUGGGCGAUGGUGAAAUCACCGACUCUCAGGUCUCCUGCAUGGCCAAGGGGCUGCUCUCUGCCUCAUCCUCUGCCCACCCCAUGGGCAUUUUUCUGCUUCCUGUUGGGAAUGCCCGCCCACUUCUUUCCAGCACUCUCUGGCUGCUCCCUCCACAGUGCCGACAGCCUGACUAGAGGCCUGAAGACCAGCAAUGACUACUUAGCCCUUCUCACCCUUUCAUCUUAAACUACCCUCUUGACUUGCCCAAUCCCAGUCCUACCCAGGGGGCCAUAGUAGCUCUUGCUGGAAUAAGUCCAAUGCAGCUGGAAGAACGAGAAAAUAGAGCCUGCUAGACUUGUCGCUUGCUGACCCCAUGGCCACCAUGCUCUAUCACCAUGGAGAGGACACAUAGCCCACAGGUCCUGCCUGCGGAGGGGUGACUGGCAAUCACAUGGUCAGUGAGUCACAUGGGAACUGAAAGUGCCCCGUGGUGGAGUGACUUCUCCAAAGGUGAUGCAUGAAUCAGUUGUGGGGAAGCUCGGGGGCAGGGUCAGACCCUGAGUCGCAGUCAGCGAUCUUAAGAACAAGCCCCCACACCAAGCCCUUCUCCACCACAGCCCAGUAGAAUCGAAGCAUCGUGGGUCAGCAGUGGUUUCAGGUGUGGUGGGGGUGGAGGCCCAGAACACGUGUGAGGCUGUGUGUGCCGGGGUCUGCCUAGGCGAGGAGUCCCUGUUGCUGGCUUGAUACUCCUUGUCUUGGGGGCCCCAGGAAAGUGGGAGCAGGAGGUCUCAGCCACCCUCCCUAGCCCUGGAUUCCUGGUCGAGGAGCCAUGUGGGUCUAGGCCCUGAGCAUGGUCAGGGUUGCUUGGGCAGUCACUGCACGAAGGCUGCAACCUCAUCUUUCCCUCUUCUGGGAUCAAAUUAGAGAACCGCUGAGUCGUGGGGUUGUAAGUGAACGCAUGC